AGCUUGCCCCCAUACCUCAAAGCAUUUUGUUCUUCUUCUUCAGCCAAUAUUUUCGCAAUGGCAUGAUCAUCCUCAGUACCUUGUGAACUGCUAUUCAAACUAGACGCCGUCGAACUCGAGCUUCCUCUUGAGUUUCCAUAUUCAGUCAUAUUACAAUCAAUAACUUCUCAAAAUAGACCAAUACAACAAAAAUUCCUAGCAAGCAACAAUCCCCAUAUCAAAUUAGGAUACGAUCAGGUCACAUAAAAGAUAUGGAGUAACUUUAUUUAAUAGCAUUGAUUGGUAAAUUAGAAUAAAUGCUAAGUAGCAUAUAACUUAAAUCAUCCAAAUAAAAUUAGGAUUGAUACAUAAGCUCCGAAAAAAAAAAAAAAAAACCCCAACAACAGAAAAUGGAAAAACUGUAAUCUUUGCGAGGAUCUAUCAGAUACUUGUCCGUAUGAAAGACCCACAAUUGGAAUACGAAGUAAUGUAUCUAAUUUUGGAUGUGAAUUUUGAUCUCGAUUCCUUUAGCCCUUCUUUCAUAGUAAAGAAAAAAUAAAUCAAUUCAUGAGCUAGAUAGAGCAAAAUUCGAAGCACCUUUUGGCCUAGUGACGAGGAAGAGAAACAAAUGCGAUUUUGAUAAUUCAAGAAAAAAGGAAGUAAUAAUGAGAUUUUGAUAAUUCAAGAAAAAGAAAGCAUAAGGGAGAGGGGUGGGUGCCGAAGUAGAGGAAAGAUGGCAAAGGAAAGCGAAGAGUUGGUUGUGAGUCUUGUGAACGUGGGAACACUUGGAUUAGACGUCAUUCCAUCACCUCGACAAGCAAAGAGAUAAAUGUUGGUCAACAAAACACGAGAUAGAAACAUCUUACUUGGGGUAUUACC
rnacentral:lncRNA from 1 species